rnacentral:rRNA from 1 species
AACAUGAUUAGAUACCCUGGUAGUCCACGCCGUAAACGAUGUCGACUUGGAGGUUGUGCCCUUGAGGCGUGGCUUCCGGAGCUAACGCGUUAAGUCGACCGCCUGGGGAGUACGGCCGCAAGGUUAAAACUCAAAUGAAUUGACGGGGGCCCGCACAAGCGGUGGAGCAUGUGGUUUAAUUCGAUGCAACGCGAAGAACCUUACCUGGUCUUGACAUCCACGGAAGUUUUCAGAGAUGAGAAUGUGCCUUCGGGAACCGUGAGACAGGUGCUGCAUGGCUGUCGUCAGCUCGUGUUGUGAAAUGUUGGGUUAAGUCCCGCAACGAGCGCAACCCUUAUCCUUUGUUGCCAGCGGUCCGGCCGGGAACUCAAAGGAGACUGCCAGUGAUAAACUGGAGGAAGGUGGGGAUGACGUCAAGUCAUCAUGGCCCUUACGACCAGGGCUACACACGUGCUACAAUGGCGCAUACAAAGAGAAGCGACCUCGCGAGAGCAAGCGGACCUCAUAAAGUGCGUCGUAGUCCGGAUUGGAGUCUGCAACUCGACUCCAUGAAGUCGGAAUCGCUAGUAAUCGUGGAUCAGAAUGCCACGGUGAAUACGUUCCCGGGCCUUGUACACACCGCCCGUCACACCAUGGGAGUGGGUUGCAAAAGAAGUAGGUAGCUUAACCUUCGGGAGGGCGCUUACCACUUUGUGAUUCAUGACUGGGGUGAAGUCGUAACAAGGUAACC